rnacentral:rRNA from 1 species
CCAAUAGCGUAUAUUAAAGUUGUUGCAGUUAAAAAGCUCGUAGUUGAAUUUCGGGAUUCGUCGGUUGGUCGGGCUUCACUGUCCGCACUGACCUGACGGGUUCCUACCUUCUGAAUAACCAGCAUGCUAUUAAGUUAGUGCGUUGGGGAAGCAGAGCUAUUACCUUGAAAAAAUUAGAGUGCUUAAAGCAGGCUUGUGCUUGAAUAGAUUAGCAUGGAAUAAUAAAAUAGGACGGCAUGGUUCUAUUUUGUUGGUUUCUAGGAUCACCGUAAUGAUUAAUAGGGAUAGUUGGGGGCAUUAGUAUUCAAUUGUCAGAGGUGAAAUUCUUGGAUUUAUUGAAGACUAACUUCUGCGAAAGCAUUUGCCAAGGAUGUUUUCAUUAAUCAAGAACGANAGUUAGGGGAUCGAAGACGAUCAGAUACCGUCGUAGUCUUAACCAUAAACUAUGCCGACUAGGGAUCGGACGAUGUUAAUUUUUUAAUGACUCGUUCGGCGCCUUACG